UAUGCUAUAAACAUGAAAAAUAAAUUGGCAGAUAUCUAGAUACAAAUUUUAAAUCAAUGAGAUCUGAAAUGCAAGAGCUUCUGUAUCCAAAUGGCUGUUUCAUGCCCUAAAUUCUCUGAGUUGUGCUUAAUUCUUGCAGUACAUAAGGCAUGUAAAAACCACCCACUCACUACUUCAGAGCCAUUUUUCUUCAUCUAAAUUAAAUUUCUUUAGUUCCAUUCAUCUUUACAGCUCAUUCAACAGGUCCCUCUGCAGCAGUGAAGGGAAGCAUGUUUCAAUGUGCUAAUCCAGCUCGGAGAUGGAUUAAUUGACUCACAUGCCCCUCUGAUCACUAGCCAGAUGUCUCUCCCCAGCUGGCAAGCCUUACUAAUUUUCUUGUUGUUGUUGCUGUUGUUAAUUCUGGGUUUCCAGCCAGCGGGGGCUCAAUCAAGGGCAACAUGCCCUCUGCCGACAUUUUGUAUUCUUUGGUCUGCUUUCCCCUGGGCAAAGACAUUCAGCUGUGAACCUCCUUCCCUGGCUCUUUGUCAUCUGGCCUGUGGCCCCUGGACAGGGCUCUGCUGGUGCAGUUGCACUUGUGUAUCCGGCACAUUGGGCCACACAGGGCUGUGCUGUGAAUAUUCAAGUUCAACAGGACAGAAAAGAACAGAAAACACUUCUCCUUUUUUUUUCAUUGGAAAAGAAGUUGCAAAAUAUUGUUUCAUGACAAGAUCAGAGAAGCACAGCUUGAGAAGAGAGAAGUUUGUCUAAGGUGUGAACAUCAAGAAUUCAACUGCAUUUCUAUGGACCCAGCACUUACUACUCCAACUAAAAAUGUGGAUGAGCUCAUUUCUUCAGCAUCUGAGCAGUUGCUCACAAUUCAUAGGGGUCAACUCUACAGUGGGUGUAAAUUGGAUGAAAUGAAGAUGAUGAAUCUGGCUGAUUGCUUUCUCUGUUUUGUCUCAUUACUUGGAUUUAGAGAUUGAGGAACAGAAUGUGAGAAAACUUCAAAACUUCUUUAGGAACACAGAUAUUUUCAGGCUGGACUGCAACCAAGUCCAAUCUAGCCCAGCAUCUUGUGUCAGAGAGAGGCCAGAAGCAGAUGCUGCAGGAGAAGAGUCUUACUACAAGCCUCGGGAGAGGGAUAUAAAUGAUGAAUGCAGGUUAAUAACACGGGAGUCUGCGGAAAAUUGCAUUAAAAUGGCACAGCAAUAACGGAUAUAAAAACAACUGGAGCAUGUGGUUGAAAAAAGCUGCCAAGAAGUGGCGUGGGAAGCCAUCACACUAACAUGGAAAGGGAAAUCAGCUUCAUUUUUUUCCCAGUAAUAAACAGAAUGAGGACUGAACACGUGGGGCACAAACUGGACAAAUGUGUAGUACAUCCCACCCAGCAGACUGUGGUCUGUGUCAGGACACAGGCACUGUGGAGAUGUAGCUGCCAGGAUCAUGGGAAAAGGAUUGCAGCUACCUGCUGAACUAAGAACACAGGAGAAGAGCAGUACAGAGGGUUCCAGUCACAUCUUGAACUCCUUCUGCUACUGCUAUCGUGGAAGUUUGGCUUGAGAAAAGACUACAGAUGCAAGACCUGCAUUUCAAG